rnacentral:tRNA from 1 species
GCCAAGGUGGUCUACCGGUUAGAACGCUGGCCUUGUAAUCCUGGGGUCUCGGGUUCGAUUCCCGGCGGUGCCC